UACGUAGGGUGCGAGCGUUGUCCGGAAUUACUGGGCGUAAAGGGCGCGUAGGCGGCCUUCUAAGUCGAACGUGAAAUCCCCGGGCUCAACCCGGGAACUGCGUCCGAUACUGGAAGGCUUGAAUCCGGGAGAGGGAUGCGGAAUUCCAGGUGUAGCGGUGAAAUGCGUAGAUAUCUGGAGGAACACCGGUGGCGAAGGCGGCAUCCUGGACCGGUAUUGACGCUGAGGCGCGAAAGCCAGGGGAGCAAACGGG
rnacentral:rRNA from 1 species